rnacentral:rRNA from 1 species
CCUACGGGGUGCAGCAGUGAGGAAUAUUGGUCAAUGGACGAGAGUCUGAACCAGCCAAGUAGCGUGAAGGAUGACUGCCCUAUGGGUUGUAAACUUCUUUUAUAUGGGAAUAAAAUGUUCCACGUGUGGGAUUUUGUAUGUACCAUAUGAAUAAGGAUCGGCUAACUCCGUGCCAGCAGCCGCGGUAAUACGGAGGAUCCGAGCGUUAUCCGGAUUUAUUGGGUUUAAAGGGAGCGUAGGUGGAUUGUUAAGUCAGUUGUGAAAGUUUGCGGCUCAACCGUAAAAUUGCAGUUGAAACUGGCAGUCUUGAGUACAGUAGAGGUGGGCGGAAUUCGUGGGGUAGCGGUGAAAUGCUUAGAUAUCACGAAGAACUCCGAUUGCGAAGGCAGUUCACUGGACUGCAACUGACACUGAGGCUCGAAAGUGUGGGUAUCAAACAGGAUUAGAUACCCCAGUAGUC